rnacentral:rRNA from 1 species
GAUGAACGCUGGCGGCGUGCCUAAUACAUGCAAGUCGAGCGAACAGACGAGGAGCUUGCUCCUCUGACGUUAGCGGCGGACGGGUGAGUAACACGUGGAUAACCUACCUAUAAGACUGGGAUAACUUCGGGAAACCGGAGCUAAUACCGGAUAAUAUAUUGAACCGCAUGGUUCAAUAGUGAAAGACGGUUUUGCUGUCACUUAUAGAUGGAUCCGCGCCGCAUUAGCUAGUUGGUAAGGUAACGGCUUACCAAGGCAACGAUGCGUAGCCGACCUGAGAGGGUGAUCAGCCACACUGGAACUGAGACACGGUCCAGACUCCUACGGGAGGCAGCAGUAGGGAAUCUUCCGCAAUGGGCGAAAGCCUGACGGAGCAACGCCGCGUGAGUGAUGAAGGUCUUCGGAUCGUAAAGCUCUGUUAUUAGGGAAGAACAAAUGUGUAAGUAACUAUGCACGUCUUGACGGUACCUAAACAGAAAGCCACGGCUAACUACGUG